CGGGGAACGGCUUCAAUUUCUGUCCAAUCAGAGCGGGCUGAGGAUCGCCACGCCUACAGCCCGCCCCGUAUCGACCAGUGCGCUUUCCUAUUGGCUCCUAGACCAUUAGUCGGUAUCAAAGUUCACGGAUGGCCCUGGCGCUGUAAAUCAGCCGCGGCAACGUGGAGAUCACCGAUCUGUUCAUUUUCAAUUCAUGAACCUGACACGAUAUCGACGCGUGGGUACGAAAACGAUACUGACGAUUUAAUAUCCGUAACUAAUAAUUUUCGAAGACUGGAGACACAGUUCCUGGAAAAAAAAAUACUAAUUUGUAGAAGGAGUAAUCAGGAAAGGCCUGGGGACAAUUUCUCGAUUCGACCUGCUAUGUGAUCCAACUUUUCUCCAUCGUUCGUGCAGGUGUCUGAAACUCUCUAGUUUUGCCUUUUUCCGAGUGGGGGUGUGGAGAAGACGGGCUGCUUCAGGAACGAUCGAAUCUUUCCAAUAAAUGGAAUGGAAGUUUGCUGAAAUUUUCUCCAAAGUGGGCUGAGACAUAAUUAUUUUUAAAUCAGAAUAUUGUUUUGCAUGUUCCUCUUCAUUGCAAUCAACGACCGAUCUAUGUGUGCAGUUGAUGUUUGCGGUUGAAAGAAAUUUAAAACUUCCAAGGCAGAAAUGUCAUUGUACUGAUUCUCUGGAGGUGAAAGGACGGCGCGUGAAUUCGCCGCGAUGUGUAAUUGCACCAAGAAUUGCCGAGGGGCUUGGGAGUACGACGACCCUGAUUAUUAACAACACCCCGCAUCUCAAACCACAGGAUCAGAUCAAAAGUGAUCCGAACACCGGCGUCUUACAGAACUAUAAUUUUAAUGUCAGGUCUUCCUGUCACGCAGCCUUUUGGGAUAAACAUUCAUUGCUUGCCACAUUUCCAAUCUUAACCAUUUAGUAUUUGUGUUAAAACUUCGCCAUUUACCGUUUGUAUUAAAGCGGCGGCACAAUGACGUGUUACAAUUGCAUGGUUACGUCUGUGAGUAGGGUGUGUAGUUUGUUCAUGUUUGUGUACCUGCUUUUUUAAUCUUUGUAAUACUGUGCACGCUUGAUAGGAUGUAAAAUCAACAGAUUCAAUCUACUCCCUCACAAGUGUUCAAAGAAGUGUUACAUUAAUGUACUUUCCCCGUACACGUUACAGAAGGAAGUCACCGUUACUUCGAAGAGUUCUGUUAUGUUCCGAUAAAGUAACAGAUGACCGGACAUGCGAUAGUAUUAAAUUACAACAGAGGCCAAUUUACCCCCGUAUUUUAUUUAGAAGUGGAAAUCAGUUUGAAACAAAAAUGGAUUACAGUAAUUUCUUUUUUUGGCGUCAAUUGGCACUUGGGAAUAUUUUUGAUGGGACGAUGGGCAACUUGAAAAAAAAAAAUUCCAAACCUUUGCGCUAUGGAUUAACCGGCAGCCAUAUUGUGGUCCUGAUGUUAAAAUAAGUGCAUGAAUUAUGAACGUAUUGUAUUGCCAGUAUCGAUCUCGAGGUAUAAUAAAAUCUUAACAGUUUCCCUCUUUAAA